rnacentral:tRNA from 4 species
GGGCUUGUAGCUCAGUCGGUUAGAGCGCGCGCUUGAUAAGCGUGAGGUCGGAGGUUCAAGUCCUCCCAGGCCCACCA